GGCGAGUGGCGGACGGGUGAGGAAUACAUGGGAAUCUGCCCAGUCGUGGGGGAUAACAUAGGGAAACUUACGCUAAUACCGCAUGCGCCCUUCGGGGGAAAGCCGGGGACCUUCGGGCCUGGCGCGAUUGGAUGAGCCCAUGUCGGAUUAGCUAGUUGGUGGGGUAAAGGCCCACCAAGGCGACGAUCCGUAGCUGGUCUGAGAGGAUGAUCAGCCACACUGGAACUGAGACACGGUCCAGACUCCUACGGGAGGCAGCAGUAGGGAAUAUUGGACAAUGGGCGCAAGCCUGAUCCAGCCAUGCCGCGUGAGUGAAGAAGGCCUUCGGGUUGUAAAGCUCUUUUGUCCGGAAAGAAAAGCGCUGGGUUAAUACCCUGGUGUCCUGACGGUACCGGAAGAAUAAGCACCGGCUAACUUCGUGCCAGCAGCCGCGGCAAUACGAAGGGUGCAAGCGUUACUCGGAAUUACUGGGCGUAAAGCGUGCGUAGGUGGUUUGUUAAGUCUGAUGUGAAAGCCCUGGGCUCAACCUGGGAAUUGCAUUGGAUA
rnacentral:rRNA from 1 species